rnacentral:rRNA from 1 species
GACGAACGCUGGCGGCGUGCUUAACACAUGCAAGUCGAACGGAAAGGCCCCCACUUUUUUGGUGGGGGUGCUCGAGUGGCGAACGGGUGAGUAACACGUGGGUGAUCUGCCCUGUACUUCGGGAUAAGCUUGGGAAACUGGGUCUAAUACCGGAUAGGACCAUGGUUUAGUGUCUCAUGGUGGAAAAAUUAUUGUUUUGGUGCAGGAUGAGCUCGCGGCCUAUCAGCUUGUUGGUGGGGUAAUGGCCUACCAAGGCGUCGACGGGUAGCCGGCCUGAGAGGAUGAGAAGACACAGUGGGACUGAGGGACGGAGCAGCGUGCGGGGGGAAGCAGCUGUGGGGAAUAUGGGAGACUGGGCGAUAGCGUGAGCAAGCAAUGUCGUGUGAGUGAGGAAGGCCGUAGGGUUGUAAAGAUCUGUUAGCAGGGAUGAGAAUAGCAGGAGCGGGAGAAUAAGCGCCGGCUAACCCGGUG